UACGGAGGGUGCAAGCGUUAUCCGGAUUCACUGGGUUUAAAGGGUGCGUAGGCGGUCUAUUAAGUCAGUGGUGAAAUACUCCAGCUUAACUGGAGGGGUGCCAUUGAUACUGAUGGACUUGAGUGAAGUCGAGGUAGGCGGAAUUGACGGUGUAGCGGUGAAAUGCUUAGAUAUCGUCAAGAACACCAAUAGUGAAGACAGCUUACUAGGCUUAUACUGACGCUGAGGCACGAAAGUGUGGGGAUCAAACAGG
rnacentral:rRNA from 1 species